rnacentral:lncRNA from 1 species
GGGGCCUGGAGGGACCAAUCAGCGGGCGAGGCUGUGGCCGAGCCGCGAUUGGUCCGCCCCGCGGGUUCCAACCUGCACCGCCCGCUCGGUCCUUUGAGCCACUGCAUCCCCUAGCGGCGCCCGGGUGGCUGCAGCCGCUGGCCCGAAAAUGCUGCUCGGGCGAGCAGGGGUCAGGCGGGAAAAGAAGACUCCAAAUCCACUCUCUGCUCGCCCCCAGGGCAAUGCUGCCAGGAGAGGGAGUGGGUUCCCCCGCAGGCUAUCCCACCGAUGGGGCUGAGAGCUUAAUUUGGGGUUUUAUUUGAAUUGGAGACAUUGUUCCCUCUUCGCUCCUCUACCCCAUAAAAUUCCCUACAAAUGCAAAAAUUCGAGAUAGAAGAAGCCGUCCCUGAAAGUAAGUUCUGAAGGAUUCCUUUCAUGCGGUGAAGGAACAACAACAAUAUUCAACUUCACCUUGGUGUGUGAGGGUCGUCGUGUUUUAAAACACUAUCCCUGUAGAAAGAUUAGUGAAAUGUAUUGGAAGAAGUAGUGGAAACGUGAAUCUUCCUGGUCUCGCGUUUGGAUCUUCUUUGGAGUCCUCACCUUCUUAAAUCUGAUGUUUGUUUGAAAUCAGGGCUGAAUUUCCAUAUAUAGGACAGAAAGAAAGAACCCCAAUUUUUUAAAGAAAGCUCCCCCCCCCCCCGCCACGUUUCUCCUGAGCCCACUUGGUCUCCCGUUAUUAGGCGGCCCAGUUAAGAGGCAUCGAUUUUCCUUUCAUUCUCUGACCACUCGUCUCUCCUGGGCCAGCCAGGCUGCCCGCAUCUUCUCCUGCUCACAGCGCUCUCUAAACCUUUUAAUUAUUUAGUUGCUGUCUAACAUUCACCGGAAACCUCUCCAUAAACAAGGAGAAACGAAUGCACACGCAUUUUUGCUAAGAAGCCCGGGAUUAAGAUUUAAGGAUACAAGCUGAAAGAAAAAAUGAAAAAUGCUUCUCCGCGCGUCAAUCGAGGGGUGGAUGCGCCACGCAGCGUGAGCCCAGCUCACAGCCACGCGUAAGACCAAAAGCUGCCAUGGGUUCUGCGCGCGGAGACCUCAGAGCCGAAGAGAGAAGUCCCCGCGUCAGAAACGCUGCGGAUGCCAGGUCUUGAAAAUGCUGACUUCUGAGGCUAAGAAUUAUUUCAAAGACAAAAAGAAAAGACUGGUGAGGAGGCCUUCCGGUGCAAGGGCGCCUAUCCGCUAAUUUUGGAUGGGGAAGUAGGGAUUAUUCGUUUAAAUUCAAUCGCGAGCACCAAGUCGGACUGGCCGGGGAUGGAGAAGGGCAACCCCCACCUUUAGAAAAAUAAAAGAUCUCGAAG